rnacentral:lncRNA from 1 species
AGAAAACGUCACGUACGAAAACUAAAGGUGCUGAACGUCACAUGUCUCUUCUUCAGACCCAAGAGAGCACAGGACAGGCAGUGGACCGUCAAUUUGUGAGAGAACUGCGUUAAUGACCUCCAACAGUUUUGAAUUUCGACAAGCAUCUGUGGAGAAGUCAGGACAUGAAUAUAAUGCUGCUCCCCAAGAUCUUGGGAUGUGUGUGGAUUUUGUGCCUUUUGUCCCCAGAAAUACACGGACAAUGCUCAAAGCCAGUCCUCAGUGAUAACGUUGUAUUGGUUGGCACCACGUUUGACGAAGGUUCUUCUGAAAGUCUCAGUUGUGUCCCAGGGUAUUAAUGGUAUUUAAUUUUAUACCAUAUAUUAUGAGACCAGUCUUGGAUUUUGGUCAGUCAUGAUUCAGGUUUAAUCUUGAACAAUGGUGGCCACACAUUGUUGAGACAGACCUGAAGUUCCACACUCACUCACAGCGCUUCACCUAAGCCAUAUCUGAUUAUCCA